rnacentral:rRNA from 1 species
CAGUCGCCACGGUAAUACGUAGGGUGCAAGCGUUAAUCGGAAUUACUGGGCGUAAAGCGUGCGCAGGCGGUUUGUUAAGACAGAUGUGAAAUCCCCGGGCUCAACCUGGGAACUGCAUUUGUGACUGGCAAGCUAGAGUCUGGCAGAGGGGGGUGGAAUUCCGCGUGUAGCAGUGAAAUGCGUAGAUAUGCGGAGGAACACCGAUGGCGAAGGCAGCCCCCUGGGCCAACACUGACGCUCGUGCACGAAAGCGUGGGGAGCAAACAGGAUUAGAGACCCCUGUAGUCCCUGUCUCUUAUAC